UUUCCGUAGGUGAACCUGCGGAAGGAUCAUUACCGAGUUCCUGCCCUCACGGGUAGAUCUCCCACCCUUGCUUAUCUACCACGUUGCCUUGGCAGGCCGCCUCCCCGGAGCCGCUGGCGCAAGCUAGUGAGUGCCUGCCAGAGGACCCAUUAUAACCCUGUGUCAUUUGCGUCGUCCGAGUAAGAUAGAAAUCUUUAAAACUUUCAACAACGGAUCUCUUGGUUCUGGCAUCGAUGAAGAACGCAGC
rnacentral:misc_RNA from 1 species